rnacentral:lncRNA from 10 species
GAUUUUAUUGUUUCUUCUGCAAUCUAACCUCCAUUGCCCUCAUUUGCACCAAUCAGUAUAUGUCUAAACCCAGAUCGUGAACAGGGUUCAAGAUCUUGCCCUUGAGUUUGCUGUAACCUGUACAAAUCAGUGGAUAUAUGCCAUAAACUGAACGUCCCCCCUUAAAUUCAUCUCCAGUGUGAUGGUAUUUGGCUGAUGCCUUUGAAAGGUGAUUAG